AGGACGAACGCUGGCGGCGUGCUUAACACAUGCAAGUCGAACGGAAAGGCCCUUUCGGGGGUACUCGAGUGGCGAACGGGUGAGUAACACGUGGGUGAUCUGCCCUGCACUUUGGGAUAAGCCUGGGAAACUGGGUCUAAUACCGAAUACACCUUGCUGGCUGCAUGGCCUGGUGGGGGAAAGCUUUUGUGGUGUGGGAUGGGCCCGCGGCCUAUCAGCUUGUUGGUGGGGUGAUGGCCUACCAAGGCGACGACGGGUAGCCGGCCUGAGAGGGUGUCCGGCCACACUGGGACUGAGAUACGGCCCAGACUCCUACGGGAGGCAGCAGUGGGGAAUAUUGCACAAUGGGCGCAAGCCUGAUGCAGCGACGCCGCGUGAGGGAUGACGGCCUUCGGGUUGUAACCUCUUUCAGUAUCGACGAAGCGCAAGUGACGGUAGGUACAGAAGAGCACCGGCAACUACGCUCCAGCAGCCGC
rnacentral:rRNA from 1 species